GUCAUUAUUGUUUUGAGAUAAGCUAUUUGGGGUGUAGAGCACUUUAUUAUGGGGACAGAACGCAGAUUCUAUAAAUAGUAUAAAGUCUGCUAUUGACAAUAGCUCACUAACAAAUACCACUAUCUGGUAGUCACUUCAGAUUGAUUAAUGAGUUGAUUAUUUAGGGCUGAACGCUUGUUAAAACCACUGGGCCGCAAGGCAGCGUGUUAAACCGUGCAGCUGUGAAACUGCAAUAUAAUCCACGAGCUGAUAAAAUCUGGAAAUAUUUAAUCUGUCUAUUAUUUAAAAAUUAUUAUUCAGCAUUCAUAAGUAGAGGGUGAAUCUGAUUGUUAGUUGAUGUCAUCAAACACCUAUGUUCUGUCUCUUGUUCUGCACAACAUCCUCAGGUCACAAUAUAGAAUCAGUUGUCACUUGUAGGCACAGCAACAGCUGGCCAGAGAAGAGAGACACAUCCUUCCAGGCAGAGCUUUGUAAUGAGAAGAAAACCUUUCUCAGAAGUGCUCAAGAUGCCUGUCUUCAGAGAGAGAGAGAGAGAGAGAUUUCCCACAGAUCUGAGAGGCUGACAAGCAAGGCAAAAUUUCCAUCAAAUAUUGGAGCCCAUGUUAUUUGUGUUGGAUUUUGA
rnacentral:lncRNA from 13 species